UUGGGUGUCGAAAAUGGUGAUGCGUCGACCACUUUUGAGAGAAGCUACAUCUUUUAGAGUAAUAAGUAGCAAUAACUGACCUGUUUCUCGUUAAGUACGCUCAUAAGACUGUAUAAUAAUGUGACCCUUGUCCCAUCCAGAGUUGCAGUCUUUCUAAUAAUUUAAGUCAAACUUGCGUCAGAUGAGCGUUCCCGGAAAUUCCAAAACUCGACAACUUAAAAUGGCUGGCAAAUUCUUAAAUCGAAAAAGUAGCAGCCAACUACCUGUCGUGGGUUGAGUGAAUUACCCCGACAACGUCUUAUCAUUAUUUCAUGUCUAAAUAUAGUCUGAAUCAGAGAGUCAGUAGGGUCAUUAUUUCAUGUACGUAUGUCAAGUUAGUACUUAUGCAUGAUUACUGAUGCCCGAUGUAUGUACUCUAAAGUAAUAAAGCCAAGUUUAUAAGUUGAUCAACA